UGGGGAAUAUUGCACAAUGGGCGGAAGCCUGAUGCAGCGACGCCGCGUGAGGGAUGACGGCCUUCGGGUUGUAAACCUCUUUCAGUAGGGAAGAAGCGAAAGUGACGGUACCUGCAGAAGAAGCGCCGGCUAACUACGUGCCAGCAGCCGCGGUAAUACGUAGGGCGCAAGCGUUAUCCGGAAUUAUUGGGCGUAAAGAGCUCGUAGGCGGUUUGUCGCGUCUGCCGUGAAAGUCCGGGGCUCAACUCCGGAUCUGCGGUGGGUACGGGCAGACUAGAGUGAUGUAGGGGAGACUGGAAUUCCUGGUGUAGCGGUGAAAUGCGCAGAUAUCAGGAGGAACACCGAUGGCGAAGGCAGGUCUCUGGGCAUUAACUGACGCUGAGGAGCGAAAGCAUGGGGAGCGAACA
rnacentral:rRNA from 1 species